ACUCCUACGGGAGGCAGCAGUGGGGAAUAUUGCACAAUGGGCGCAAGCCUGAUGCAGCCAUGCCGCGUGUAUGAAGAAGGCCUUCGGGUUGUAAAGUACUUUCAGCAGUGAGGAAGGUGGGUAUGUUAAUAGCAUAUUCAUUUGACGUUAGCUGCAGAAGAAGCACCGGCUAACUCCGUGCCAGCAGCCGCGGUAAUACGGAGGGUGCGAGCGUUAAUCGGAAUUACUGGGCGUAAAGCGCAUGCAGGUGGUUUGUUAAGUCAGAUGUGAAAGCCCGGGGCGUCAACCUCGGAAUUUGCAUUUGAAACUGGCAAACUAGAGUACUGUAGAGGGGGGUAGAAUUUCAGGUGUAGCGGUGAAAUGCUAGAGAUCUGAAGGAAUACGGUGGCGAAGGCGGCCCCCUGGACAGAUACUGACACUCAGAUGCGAAAGCGUGGGGAGCAAACAGGAUUAGAUACCCUGGUAGCUCGAUG
rnacentral:rRNA from 1 species